GUGCCGGUUCUAUAGUGGCUAUCCCCACUGUGGAAGCCACUGAUGCCCUUGAAGAUUAAGAUCUUCGUAUGGUAGCUUCUACAAGAUCAUCUCCCUUCUAGGACUGAGGUGUUGAAAUGCCAUGGUCCGGGCAAUGGCCUUUGCCCUUUGUGCCAUUUCCUUGAAACGGGAACGCACAUUUUGUUUUCUUGCGUAGCAGCGUAGGCACUUUGGUGCUUUGUUCAUGAGGCUCUAGGACCAGAGUGGGAGGCCCAUGACCUUGCAGAGUUUCUGCAGGUAAGGGCCACCCAGGUUGGCCGUAAGCGCCGACUGUUCUGGCUCAUCUUCGCGGCUAUGAUGUGGACUCUUUGGACUACUCGCAACAAGAUGGUGAUUGAGCGGGUGUUCUCGCGUCAUCCUUCUGACUUGUUCUUCAAAUUUCUUGCCUUCUUGUAG
rnacentral:rRNA from 1 species